UAUUUUAAGAGAUAAUAAUACAUAAAAGAUUAAAAAAAAUUUAUACGAAAAGAAGACCACAACAAAAAAAUAAUAGAUAAUAAAAAAUCAAAAUAAUUGUUAGGAAAAAUAUAAUAAAAUACAGAAAUAAAAAAAUAAAUAUAAAAACAAAAAUGAAUAUUUUUUUAUAUAAAAGAGUUAUGUUAAGUUUUCUAAUUAAAUAAAUGUAGAAUGUAUUUUAAAUAUUUAUGUCGAGGAUUCUAUAAAAUAACUAUAAACAUAGAUCCACAACCGUGUAAAAAUAAAAUAUAUAGUUAUAUAGUCGAAUAAAAGACACAUGAUAUAAGAUAAUGUAAUUUAAUAAAUAAAACUAGAUAACUUCAAAUUAAACAAAUAAAUCAACAAUAC
rnacentral:lncRNA from 1 species